GAAUUAAUAACCAACCUCAAAAUGCUAGUGCGUGAGGGACAAUUUAGAUGAAAGCGACAAACACGUCUUAGUUGGGAAAAGAGUUAAGCAUAGAUUUGAUACCAAUGGAGAAGACCAAUGGUACACUGGAAAGGUUAUAUCUCAGGUACAAAUCUACCAUAAAAUAGCGACCAAACCGAUAUAGAAAAUGUCAUGUAAUGAUCUAUUUAUAUGGCAUAUUAACAAUGUUGUAGUUCUGGGCUUAUACAAAGACUAAUAGAUAUGGGGUUUACAUUGAAAUAAACCCAUUUCUGGUCUUGAUAUUUGACAUGCAAAAUAAUAUUGAUUCUUAUUGAUUGAUUUAUAUUCUAAACUGACACAAAAUCUAUUUGCAAGUUUCUGUAUAUUCCUUGGUCAUGUAAUUUUGCCAUUGCUUUGCAUGUAACUUCAUAUAUAUAUUCUUAUCAUAACCCUGCUGAUUAACACUAUGCUUUGUAGAUGAUAGCCAAGCAAACGUCAUUUUUAACAUCAUAAUAUUUAAUCAACUUAGUUAUAACAGUCCAGGAAAUUAACGCAAGUAAUUGUGAAUUAAAUAAAUAAGAAGUGUUUAUUUGCAUAUACUGAUAUAGAACUAAAUUAAUAAAUUUAUAAUUUGGUAAAACAAUGAAUGCAAGACAUGUUACCAUAAAUUAAGAUAUUAUCAUUGCAGUGGUAUUUUCUAUGUGCUUAUAUAUACAUGUAUUCUAUGUAAAUCUCAGGUGAAAUAAGAGUUUGAUACAGGUUCCUGCAUUCCCAGAAUGGCUCAACAUUGUUUAUGAUGAGGACAGUGCGGUCUACACCUACCACCAUCGUCAUAUUGAUUUAAUUAAAUAUAAAAAAAAAUAACAUUAUUUAUUUCUAAAUGUUACACUUGAAUUACAUACUCC
rnacentral:lncRNA from 1 species